UACGGGGGGGGCAAGCGUUGUUCGGAAUUACUGGGCGUAAAGGGCUUGUAGGUGGCCAACUAAGUCAGACGUGAAAUCCCUCGGCUUAACUGGGGAACUGCGUCUGAGACUGGUGAGCUUGAGUGCAGGAGAGGAACGCGGAAUUCCAGGUGUAGCGGUGAAAUGCGUAGAUAUCUGGAGGAACACCGGUGGCGAAGGCGGCGUUCUGGACUGCUACUGACACUGAGGAACGAAAGCCAGGGGAGCAAACGGG
rnacentral:rRNA from 1 species